AAGUCUAGUUUUCCACCAGUGCUUCCAGACAAUUUGAGUUGAAUGAACAAAUAUGAGGGACACAGUCACCCUUUGUGACAAACAUGUUGUCCCAGUGUCCUCCUGCUUUUGAGGCAUCUAGACUGGGGCUGGGCUUGAUGGGAAGACCUCUCCCUGGACCAGUCCUGCACCCUUGAAAACUAAAGCAGAAAAGAGAGGAACGUGACCACAGCCACAGAGAGAACAAAGGAUAUUUGGGAGUUAUUUAUUUGCUUCUUCCCUAGGACCCACUCCCACGAGACUGGCCCGUUGCAGUAGGGGACCCACGCACCCGGGCCUUCUGUCUGGCACUGCCGCCCUGGAUUUUGAGUCUUCUCUGGAUGUAUUCAUGCGCUCUCAUGACUCUGUGCAUCCUACGUAGCGGGAUGAUCUGACCUGAGCCCCGGCCACGCCUCCAGGACCUUGCAUUUGUUCAAUACUGCCUAGUCUGUCGUGUGCAGAGAGGGUGCUCAAUGCACCGAGUAGACUGCAUCCCAGUAAACACACGUUUACUGAGUGCAUGCGGGCCUUGGUUGCUGGACAUGGAAGAUGGCUGCCACGCGUGUUUAUGAAAAGAUGUAGCUCACAAGGAGCCUAGUGAAGGGCAGAGGGAAGAUGACGCAACCUCUGCACCGUGCAUUCCUUAAGGGGAUAGCUGCAUCUGGCUUUGGGAAACCAGGGAAGUAUAAGGCAACAAUGUGUCCUUUUGCCAUGAUCUGCACAGCUUAGGGGCUGAUCUAACUGGGGCAGCUGGGAAUAAAGAAAAGGCAGGCAGACACAGGCACAGGAAAGCUGAGGUCAGGAGGGUCAUGCCCGCCGAUGGACAUGCACUAGUUACAGGCGGAACUCGUCAGUUUAUUCCUCUGCGUUGAGGGGGUGGGUUUGUUGUGUACAGCUGAAGAAGAUGGUGGUUUAACUGGUCUUGGUGGGUGUUUCUGUUGGGGAGCACUCUCAGGCUGUAAACCCCGGGGAGGAGCAAGCCUCCACGGGCAUUUUCUGCACACAUUGUUGACAUCCACACGUGGACCAGGGGAGGUCUUUACUACUCCUGUGAGUCUGAGGCAUUGGGGUCCUUGCCAAGAGUCUGAGGCAUUGGGGUCCUUGCAGAGGCCACACCCACACAUUCACUCGGGACUUUGUCUGCUCCCUGCAGCAUAUAUGUGCGGAAGCGCCCAGUGCCACAGUCUUUCUAGAGUCAUUUCGUUUUCACUCAUCAAUGCACCCUGUUCAGUAUCCCGUGUUAACCGCAUCCAUCUGAAUGCCUGGAGGGUCGGGAAGCUGUCCGUCCUGGUCCCUGCCAGGCGCCUGGCACGGUGCUCUGCAACUGACGUGAGCUUUUUGCUAUGCUUACCCACAUCCAGAAUUAUAAUUCUCAUUGUGCCGACUGGAAACAGUGUGAAAGAGAGCAAGACGCCUUUGCACAAGGUCACCAGCCGGAAACAGGACCUGGGUGACAGAGCCAGAUGUCUCCCCACAUCUGCAGUGCUUCGAAGGCAGCGGGAGAAGCUGGGUAGGCAGGGAAGGAGCUCAUUCACUGCCUCAGGUGUUUUGCAGCAACAAGCAGGAGGUUUCCCUAGAGCCUGUCUGCUGGGAGCACAGCUUGGAAGCCGAGUGUGCAGAAACUGGUUUCUUCCUAACUCAGUAGCACCACCUACAGGCCCAGGGGGAGUGUUGCAAACGGAACCAAGAGCCUGGGCUCUGUGCCCCACUGGACUGACAUGCCAGAAGGGGUUUUUCAUCUUAAAGUAUCACAGAGUGAGACGGAGAGACGGACUAGCUCAGAGUUGCAAGGCAGAGACUGCAGAAUGGGAGAUAAACCCCUCUGACCCCUUCCAUCACCCUUCUUUUUCCAUCACCCCACUUUCCUCUUCCUCUUUCUUCCUCCUCCUCCUCUUUUUCCUUCCCUCCACUCCAUAUCUGUUACUGAGCACGUCAUAGGUCUUGGGCAUAGUCUUUUUCCUGGGAUAAUAAGUCUGGGUGGACAAGAUUUGCUCUCAAGGAUGACUGUUGAAUUGUUGAGUUGACACUGUAACUUCUCAGCUACGGCUGAGAUUCGUUGAGCAAGUGUCCCCACGUGCGAGGCCCUACCUGAGGGCUUCAUCUCACUGACUUCUCACAUUGAGGAGAUUUGGCCUCAGGGUAGCUUGGGAGCAUGCUCAGUGUGGCCCAGUAAGUGGUGGCGCUGUGGUCCAAACCCAGAUCCUUUGUAUCUCAGAACCAGAGAUGUCAACUUCGAUGCUGCACAUCUUCUCUAAGGGCUAACUCGAGAAGUAGGCUUUUUCUCGUAAACGUUUUGUUCUUUAACGUUUGCUUAUUCGGUGUCUGAGAGGGGUACAGGCCGUCUUCUCCAACUUCUUGCUUCUUAAUUCUGAGGGUUUCAUUGAGGUUCUGGUUACUGAACAAGGUUUUGGGGACAGAGAAGGGACUGACUCAGGUAGAAUCAUGGCCUUGUAGAUGUCAGCAUCAUAGAGUCAAGUGGUAAAUGUGUUUUAGUAGGCGCACUCCAUAACUCUGGGAAGGAUCCAGUCACACCAACAGGUAGAAGUGGCCCCUCCUGGUGUGUGCAGUGCAUCAUGAGUGCCUUAGACACAGAGUCCCUUAGAAACACCACCAAGUUCAAAGAGGCAAGAGAUGAGAACACCCAAGUCUGCCUCUACAGGGCGGGAGCUUCUACAUCUCAGGGCCCUGGGGAUCCUAGCAUCAUGAAGACCGGUUUCUGGCCCCCUCGCAGGAGGGCUGCUGUCAAGUUUUGAGGAAAUGAGUCUCUGUGUUCUGAGCUGUAGGGAAGGACAGCUAUUUUAGUUUCCAUUUCUUCCUUAGCUACUAGAUCGCAUUUCUUUCUAACUUCACAGGAAUCCUGCCUUUGUUCUCCUUUCUUUGGGGUCAAUGUCUGACUUCCAUGUGAGUGUGUGCGUGUGUGUGUUCGUGUGCGUGUGCCUCUGUGUGUGUGUGUUUCCUCAAAGAGAGCACACCAGCUUGUAGGUGUCACAUCAAAAGAGAGAAGAUCAGGUGUGGCUUAAGGAAUACGGUGACGUCUUUAGACAAGAGGGCCCCAUCACACGCAGGUGUCUUACACAAAGGGCAGUGCUACAUUGGGAGGGUUUUGAACACCUUUGCCCUCCUUGUCUUCUCCUUGAAUAUUUUCACUCCCCAAGGACACUGUUUGUGUGCGUGUCCUACAGGCACAUGUACACAGAUUUACGUGCUUAAUAGAGACAGACUUACCUCAGAGUUCUGCCAGGCCCACAAUGGGGUAAGGGAAAUCUAUCCCUCAAAAUCCAAAACUCUUUUCUCUUUCAAAAAUGGGACAUUUUUAAAGAUGCCAUGUUCCUCUGCCAAGACAUGAGUAACAGCAUAACAUAAUUUGUAACAGAAAGGGAGACAACCUGAGGUCCAGCCCCCCCCCCAAAGGCCCAACCAGCUGGUCUCACAGUUAAAUUUAUGUUAGGGUCCAGCCUUGGCCUCAUAGCUUUCUAUAAAUUACAGAUGGCCACAGGCACCUUCUCCGCGCCUGUUUGGUCACAAUGUGAAUAAGUCUGGUAAGGACAUCCUUCUGUAUUGCCCCCAGUGGAGGCUGAGGUGAGAGUCCCUGUCUUUCUUUACAUUAUAGAAGGGACGGUGCUUGCUGUUCUAAAUGUUGGAGCCAGGGCCGUCCUAAGCCAGCAGCAGAUCUGGGAGUCAAGUUCUUCUGGUUGGCCCUGGGAGAAAGGGCUCAUCGGGUCCUCAGUUUCUUAUCAGCUUAGAGCUCUGUCUCCUUUCUUUGCACACUGUGGAUUUAGUAGGUAUUGCUGAUCCCUGGGAACCAUCAACCGAGACAGCCUUGUUUCUGUGGGGAUUCUUUUGGGAGUGACUCCAGGUCUUGGGUGCCUCUGGUCCUGCCUCGCUGCUUUGCCAGUCUGGGUUAGGGGUGGCUGCAGCUCUUCCUGUCCUGCCUGGGUUGCUCGCCAUUUUCAACUCUCCCUUCCUUCUCAUCUUCUACCUGAAUUUCCUGUGGUUCCCAGUACUCAGAGUGGUUUCUGUUGACUUGGCUGGACUUUGCCUGAUGCAUUAUAACUUUUAUUGGUUUUCCCUUAUAACAGCCUGCAGUAAAGAUGAUGAUGAUGAUAGCGUUGGUGAUUUCCAUCCCUGCCUUGGUCUAUAACCUCACAUAUUACAAAGCUUUCACUCCGGUUCUGUAAUUUGAGUUUCGUAAUAACAGUGUGAUGUAAGAAAGGCAUUUAUCAUUAAUUCCACUUUAGAGAACGGGAAAUGAUUUCACUCUGUUCACACAGCUGCUGGCUCUGGAGAGAGAGCCGGAACCAGAUCUUUUGUAGACUUCCCUCACCCGAGUUAACCCUCUGUCUUCCACAGCCAUUCUGCCCACCCCAUGGGAAAAGGCUUUAUAUUCUGUCGAGUUUCGAUGGUGUUUUCCAGGGCACAGGGCACAGACCACAGGUCAAGGGAGACUGAGCUGUUUACUGUUGGAUAAUAAGUGAGACAAUGCUUGGUGGUUUGAAGCAGCUCCACUGGGAGCAAAUUAAAAUAUCAGAUCGGAAAAUGUUAAUGGAGGAUAAUUAAUGGAAUAAAAUUCCAUUAUGUAAAUGUACCACAUUUUCCUUAUCUCUUCAUCUGCUGAGGGACAUCCAGACUGGUUCCAGGCCUACAGUGUGACAAUCAACACGGAGGUGAAAGUGUCAUUGUGGUGUGUUGACUUAAAGCCUUUGGGGUAUAUACCCAGGACUCGUGUAGACUGAGUUACACGAUAGUUCCCCUUAUGGUUUCUUGAGCAAUCCUUACUUGGUUCCAUAGUGCCUGUACACCUUUAAUUGCCACCAGAAGGGAAUAAGGAAUAAGGGCUCCUCCUUUUCCACAUCUGCCAGCAUUUGCUGUCACCCUCUUCCUUCAUCAUGUCCAUUCUGACUGGGGCGACAUGAACUCUUCUUUUUCUGGGGGGGGGCAUGUUUCAAAACAGGGUUUCUCUGCGUAACAGCUCUGGCUGUCCUGGAACUCGCUCUGUAGAUCAGUCUGGCCUGGAACUCACGGAGCUCUGCUUGCCUCUGCCUCCCAAGUGCUGGGAUUAAAGGAGUGUGCCAUCGUAGCCCGGCUUCAAACUUGUCAAUUCUUAACCAUCAGAUAUUUGAAAAAUUAUCCUUACAUAAAAUAAACGGGGAUACAGUGUGUAAUUUAACAGAAACACUGCAACAUUUCUGAGGUAAUGAGACACACUUGCGAAACAAUUGUGGUUAAGUACAGCUGUGCCUAGGGCCAGACCCUUCCCCUACCUGGGCUGGGAGGAGUAUGAAGUCAUUGUCACCUGCUGGUGAUGGAACUGUAUUGGAAAAGACUGAGGCACAGUGGCUACCCUCAACGUGGGGACAUACUUUAGGCCCCGUGAUCUCUACGUCCUGGGGUUUGCGCCCUUGUGAUAGUCCCUCUUUUUGAUCAACUGAAGGAUUUCUGGCUUGUUCCUAAUCCCCAAAACAUGCCAAAGGCCACAGUGUCUCUCAGGUAAUUAUGUUAUGGUAUAUUAGACCUUGCCUUAUCAGGCUUUCUUAAGGACUGGGAAAAGCUAGCAGCCUUGUUGGGAAAUGAAGCCCAAGGAAAUUCAGGUGACACUUGAGUAGCCAGGAUGGCCUUUAGCAACCAUCAACAAAAAGCCAGGACCUUUCAAUGGAAUGGUUAUAAGAAACUAUAGUCUAUCAAUAACCUAAUCAGCCUGAAAGGCCAUUCUUUCCCAGCCGAGUCUCCAGAUGAGAAUACAGCCUGUCAGACAUUUUGAUUGUUGCUCAGCAAGACACAAAGCACAGAACCCACUUAUAUCAUACCUGAAAGAGACCCACAGAAACUGGGAAAACAGAUGUGUGCUGUACUAAACCUCCAGGUUUGUGGUUGGUUAUGAGGUAGACAACGACAGAAGAGAUCAAACACCCUGACCAGAAGGCACAUGGGGACAUCCACACCACCUCAAGACACAGCAAGUUUGACUAUACAUUUUUGUUUAAAAAAUUAUCUUUGUACGUUACUGAUAAACAUUUUCUGAAGGAUAAAAAGCCACCAGGGCGAGUUGAAGGCUGAGUGGGAACCUGGGAGAGCCCUCUUUGGCUGUGUUUGAAGUACACAACAGCUGUAGGGCUGGCUCAGUUGUACUCGGAGAUGGAGAAGAUCCUCGUGAGUAGGAGGGUCAGACCACUAAGGGAACAAGUCAGGGUGUGUGUGUGUGUGUGUGUGUGUGUGUGUGUGUGUGCUUCACCUCAGAUGAGGAUUGUGAGGGUUUCUGAGGACUAUGUGUGCCUUACCUACUCUUUCCUUGAAGUUUGUGAGCUGAAAGGAAAAAGGUCAGAGGGCAUGGUGGACAGUUGACACUGGGCCAAUCAAAGGUCAGCUCCCCCUUAGCACUGGGGAGCCUAAUUAAUCUGUUUCUGAACUCUUAGCUGUGGUUUGUCACAUACUCUUGUAGGACUCAGGUUCUACCAGUACAUUCCAAUUGGCCAACAAUAGUAUGAUAACUCAAGACAGUACUCUGGGCACAUCCUCUAUCCAACCAUCAAGAUAAAUAUACUUUUUAAUUCAGUAACUAAAAAAAAAGUCUAACAUUGAAUCUAUGGUUCACGGGAAGAACACUUGUCUAGCAUGCAUAAAGCCUGAUUUUCAGCCUCAAUGUAACAUGAAACAACAAAUAAUUUCACAAACUUAUGCCAAACAAGGAUGGAGCAGAUCGUGUUAGCAUGACUCAGUAAUGGUUGCCAGUGGUUGGUGGCAAUAAACAAAUCAUCGAAGUUUAAAUAAAGACAUGAUGCAAACUUGUAUUUGUUCAGAUUGGCUAGUGAGCCUUUCCCUAAUUCUGUUUGUCUUUCCAGGGAGACAGCACCCACAAUGCUAGGACCCAGUCAGCAGCUAAUGGGCCAGAAGGCCACUGGCAGAUGCAGAGCUGAGGAGAAAGUCUGUCAUGCCUGGAGCAUUGUGGGUAACUGGAAGGAAGUCUGAGCUGUGACUGGAAAGCCACAGCUGGCAGUUGGUUUGCUCUGAGAGCUCUCCACACGUGUGUCAACAUCUGCGUAACACUUAAAUUAUCUGAGUGUCUAACACACAAGGACCACGUUUGGGUUGCAUUUUCCAGAAAGAAGACCCUGAGCAGGGAUGCAGGAAUUCAUUUGGAGGUGACCUUAGGAAGUCCCAGUGAGGAGAUGAGGAGCCAUGUAGAGGGUGUAUGACCGAGUCAGCUGAUGCUGUGGGUUCCUGGGACUUAAUUAUACUGAGCAGUCAUGGUGGCAUAAUAGAGUUGCUAUCUUGGAAUCACCCCCACCUGGUGGCGAGAGGGCUCGUGCUCUAGAGGAUCGUCAUGCUCGCUCUUAGUCCUUCCUUAGUCAGUGUCACUACUGGAAACAUUAUUUCCCCCAUCUUCCAUGAGAGAUUCCCACACCCUUUCUAGUGACAAAGACCUCAAAUGAAGAGAUAGAGGGGCUUGGGGAGAGAAGGGAGAGGUAGCAAAUGACCACCCGACUGUAGUUGGCACGUGGAUGGGCCGUUGGGAUGAAGGCCAAAUAUCGACACACACGGUGCAAGCCUAAUAUCUGAGGGGAGUUACGGUCUGUGACAGGAGAUGAAAUGGGGGGUCGCAGGGGGGUCAGAAAACUGUAACAAUACUUGGACAAAGAUGCUGUGUGUUAGAUUGCCUUUGGAGAGAGGCCUAGAGGGACCCUCAAAGCCCCCAUAAGCGGGACCCAUGGCUGCGAUUCUGAAGCUUCUUGCUCUGCCAAGUGUCCUUUGGAUCAAGCCUGAUAAGUCAUCUUUUUUCCAAACAUGAUAGAUAAUUGAGAUGGUCAUGAAUUAGAGUGUUUGAUCUUUACAGUGUUCCACAUUUCCUGUAUUUUCCUUUCCAGGUGUUUAAUUUUUUUUUCUUAUACAGGAAUCUAAGCAAUGCUGAGAGUGAGGAAAAUAGUCUCCUCCAAAGAAAGAACACCAAUUGGUUAUCUAAUACCAAAUGGUCAUUCCUGAGAACAUGCAUGCAAGUAACAUUAUACAGACUGAGCAGGACGUAUUUAGAAAUAUAUAUACAUAUGUAAAUGUAUAUAUAUAUGUAUGUAUACAUAUAUAUAUCAUUGCUUUGAAUUUGAAAUUUGAAUCAGAAAUUUGAAAUAGAACAAGAGGUGCACACAGGAAGAUUUGGAUGGA